rnacentral:lncRNA from 1 species
CAAAAUACCGCCAUCUGCGAAAAAAACAGCUUUUAAGCAUUUCUUCCUAUUUAAACAUUGUAUGUGGUCAAUAUAAGAUUUAAUAAACAAAUUCUUAAGAAUCUGAAAAAUUUAGAGUAAAAAAUAUGUGCGCGAAUCAUCUUAUUGCUUGAAAUAAAGGGGGUGAAACUAAGAGAUUGCAAUCUGCAUUGUAACUACCAGACUGAAAUAAACAUAUUUCGACUUUUCUAAUUGUUUGAUUUGUAGCUUCAUUAUAAAUAUUGAUGUAGUGAAAAGACCUUUUAUUUAUUUAAUGUGAAUUGAAAAUUUAGAC